UAGGGAAUCUUCGGCAAUGGGGGCAACCCUGACCGAGCAACGCCGCGUGAGUGAAGAAGGUUUUCGGAUCGUAAAGCUCUGUUGUAAGAGAAGAACGUGUGUGAGAGUGGAAAGUUCACACAGUGACGGUAACUUACCAGAAAGGGACGCUAACUACGUGCCAG
rnacentral:rRNA from 1 species